GCCUAAUACAUGCAAGUCGAGCGAACAGACGAGGAGCUUGCUCCUCUGACGUUAGCGGCGGACGGGUGAGUAACACGUGGAUAACCUACCUAUAAGACUGGGAUAACUUCGGGAAACCGGAGCUAAUACCGGAUAAUAUAUUGAACCGCAUGGUUCAAUAGUGAAAGACGGUUUUGCUGUCACUUAUAGAUGGAUCCGCGCCGCAUUAGCUAGUUGGUAAGGUAACGGCUUACCAAGGCAACGAUGCGUAGCCGACCUGAGAGGGUGAUCGGCCACACUGGAACUGAGACACGGUCCAGACUCCUACGGGAGGCAGCAGUAGGGAAUCUUCCGCAAUGGGCGAAAGCCUGACGGAGCAACGCCGCGUGAGUGAUGAAGGUCUUCGGAUCGUAAAACUCUGUUAUUAGGGAAGAACAAAUGUGUAAGUAACUAUGCACGUCUUGACGGUACCUAAUCAGAAAGC
rnacentral:rRNA from 1 species